rnacentral:rRNA from 1 species
UACGUAGGGUGCAAGCGUUGUCCGGAAUUAUUGGGCGUAAAGAGCUCGUAGGCGGUUUGUUGCGUCGGCUGUGAAAUCCCGAGGCUCAACCUCGGGUCUGCAGUCGAUACGAGCAAACUAGAGUGUUGCAGGGGAGACUGGAAGUUCCUGGUGUAGCGGUGAAAUGCGCAGAUAUCAGGAGGAACACCGGUGGCGAAGGCGGGGUCUCUGGGCAACAACUGACGCUGAGGAGCGAAAGCGUGGGGAGCGAUCCGGA